rnacentral:rRNA from 1 species
UUCGAUUCUGGCUCAGAACGAACGCUGGCGGCAGGUCUUAGGCAUGCAAGUCGAACGGAUGACAGAGAGUUUGCUCUCUGAAGUCAGUGGCGCACGAGUGAGUAACGCGUGGGAAACUGCCCUUCACUGGGGAAUAACGUUUGGAAACGAACGCUAAUACCGCAUACGCCCGCAAGGGGAAAGAUUUAUCGGUGAUGGAUGUGCCCGCGUUGGAUUAGCCAGUUGGUGGGGUAAUGGCCUACCAAAGCAAUGAUCCAUAGCUGGUCUGAGAGGACGAUCAGCCACGCUGGAACUGAGACACGGUCCAGACUCCUACGGGAGGCAGCAGCUAAGAAUAUUGGUCAAUGGGGGAAACCCUGAACCAGCCCAUGCCGCGUGAAUGAAGAAGGCCUUCGGGUUGUAAAGUUCUUUUAGUCGUGAAGAUGAUGACAGUAGCGACAGAAAAGCACCGGCUAACUUCGUGCCAGCAGCGGC